rnacentral:tRNA from 1 species
GGUUCUGUAGUGUAGCGGUUAUCACGUCGCCCUGUCACGGCGAAGAUCGGGUUCGAUUCCCGUCAGAACCG